AUACGGAGGACGCGAGCGUUAUCCGGAUUCAUUGGGUUUAAAGGGUGCGCAGGCGGCCGUGCAAGUCAGCGGUGAAAGCCCGGGGCCCAACCCCGGAAGUGCCGUUGAUACUGCAUGGCUUGAAUGCGGUCGAGGCGGGCGGGACCUGGCGUGGAGCGGGGAAAUGCGUAGAUAUGCCACAGAACGCCGAUAGCGGAGGCAGCUCGCCAGGCCUGCAUUGACGCGCGGGCACGAAAGCGUGGGGAUCGAACAGGAUUAGAUACCCUGGUAGUCCACGCCGUAAACGAUGGGCGCUCGUCGUCGGCGGCAGACAGUCGGCGGCCAAGCGAAAGCGAUAAGCGCCCCACCUGGGGAGUACGGUCGCAAGGCUGAAACUCAAAUGAAUUGACGGGG
rnacentral:rRNA from 1 species